rnacentral:rRNA from 1 species
UACGUAGGGGGCAAGCGUUAUCCGGAUUUACUGGGUGUAAAGGGAGCGUAGGCGGUGCAGCAAGUCAGAAGUGAAAGCCCGGGGCUCAACCCCGGCCCGCCGUUGAAACUGGCUGGCUUGAGUUGGGGAAAGGCAGGCGGAAUGCGCGGUGUAGCGGUGAAAUGCAUAGAUAUCGCGCAGAACCCCGAUUGCGAAGGCAGCAUACCGGCGCCCGACUGACGCUGAAGCACGAAAGCGUGGGUAUCGAACAGG